rnacentral:rRNA from 1 species
CCUACGGGGGGCAGCAGUGGGGAAUAUUGCACAAUGGGCGCAAGCCUGAUGCAGCCAUGCCGCGUGUGUGAAGAAGGCCUUCGGGUUGUAAAGCACUUUCAGCGGGGAGGAAGGCGGUGAGGUUAAUAACCUCAUCGAUUGACGUUACCCGCAGAAGAAGCACCGGCUAACUCCGUGCCAGCAGCCGCGGUAAUACGGAGGGUGCAAGCGUUAAUCGGAAUUACUGGGCGUAAAGCGCACGCAGGCGGUCUGUCAAGUCGGAUGUGAAAUCCCCGGGCUCAACCAGGGAACUGCAUUCGAAACUGGCAGGCUAGAGUCUUGUAGAGGGGGGUAGAAGUCCAGGUGUAGCGGUGAAAUGCGUAGAGAUCUGGAGGAAUACCGGUGGCGAAGGCGGCCCCCUGGACAAAGACUGACGCUCAGGUGCGAAAGCGUGGGGAGCAAACAGGAUUAGAUACCCCAGUAGUC